GACGAACGCUGGCGGCGUGCUUAACACAUGCAAGUCGAACGAUGAAGCCGGAGCUUGCUCUGGUGGAUUAGUGGCGAACGGGUGAGUAACACGUGAGUAACCUGCCCUUGACUCUGGGAUAAGCGUUGGAAACGACGUCUAAUACCGGAUACGAGCUAGGACCGCAUGGUCACUAGCUGGAAAGAAUUUCGGUCAAGGAUGGACUCGCGGCCUAUCAGUUAGUUGGUGAGGUAACGGCUCACCAAGACGACGACGGGUAGCCGGCCUGAGAGGGUGACCGGCCACACUGGGACUGAGACACGGCCCAGACUCCUACGGGAGGCAGCAGUGGGGAAUAUUGCACAAUGGGCGCAAGCCUGAUGCAGCAACGCCGCGUGAGGGACGACGGCCUUCGGGUUGUAAACCUCUUUUAGCAGGGAAGAAGCGCAAGUGACGGUACCUGCAGAAAAAGCACCGGCUAACUACGUGCCAGCCGCCGCAGUAA
rnacentral:rRNA from 1 species